AGUGAACGCUGGCGGUAGGCCUAACACAUGCAAGUCGAACGGCAGCACAGGAGAGCUUGCUCUCUGGGUGGCGAGUGGCGGACGGGUGAGGAAUACAUCGGAAUCUGCCCAGUCGUGGGGGAUAACGUAGGGAAACUUACGCUAAUACCGCAUACGACCUUCGGGUGAAAGAGGGGGAUCGCAAGACCUCUCGCGAUUGGAUGAGCCGAUGUCGGAUUAGCUAGUUGGCGGGGUAAUGGCCCACCAAGGCGACGAUCCGUAGCUGGUCUGAGAGGAUGAUCAGCCACACUGGAACUGAGACACGGCCCAGACUCCUACGGGAGGCAGCAGUGGGGAAUAUUGGACAAUGGGCGCAAGCCUGAUCCAGCCAUACCGCGUGGGUGAAGAAGGCCUUCGGGCUGUAAAGCCCUUUUGUUGGGAAAGAAAUCUUUCAGGCUAAUACCCUGGGAGGAUGACGGUACCCAAAGAAUAAGCACCGGCUAACUUCGUG
rnacentral:rRNA from 1 species